rnacentral:lncRNA from 1 species
AUAAAUAUCCCGGUCAGGUCCAGCUGUACUUGGAAACUGUUGGGACCACGCGUACCCUCACCCCAACCCUGCAUUAGUAUGAUAUUGUUAGCUCUGGGCCAAGCCCUCACGGAUUUGUUUUUGGGCAUCUCCCAAAAGGCCUCAUACUAAUGGCAUUAGUAUGAUAUUGUCCGCUCUGAGCCAAGCCCUCACGGAUUUAUUUUUGGGCAUCUCCCAAAAAGCCUCAUACUAAUGGGGUUGGGUAACCAUAUAUAUUUGGGUCUAUAUUCUCUUUCUCUUACGGUGUGGGACGGAUGUUUGAUCCCCAACAAACCUCCCCUCAAACUCGGACCACACAAUCCCGUGACCUCCCCUCCAGUGAAUAUUCAUUUCCGAUCUGCCACCCAUCUUGCACCGCCGCAACUACCGCGGGACCCGCCGCCCGACCAUCUGUUUCUAUCGGGAAGACUUUCGACACAAGGCAUUUCCGCAGACACCUUACCCCGGUAGCCUGGAGAUCACCUUUUGGUCCAGUUUGGCACACCGUCGACUUCGCACGCGUCGGUCCGCUACUCCGCCCUUCGAACCUGGGCUCUGAUACCACUUGUUGGGACCGCGCGUACUCUCACCCCAACCCCGCAUUAGUAUGAUAUUGUCCGCUCUAGGCCAAGCCCUCACGGAUUUGUUUUUGGACAUCUCAGUCUAUGUUCUCUUUUUCUUACGGCGUGGGACGGAUGUUUGAUCCCUAACAGAAACCAACAUAGACAUUGGCCCUAUUUAUUGUUGGCGACCACCACAGAGUAAACCUACGAUUAGGGAUUUGAUUAAGCCCAGAUCGUU